CACAAACCAUAAACAACAUGGCCGCCUCGGAAGCGAUAAAACGUUUGGAAUAUUUAUCAUUAGUGUCUAAAGUGUGCACGGAAUUAGAAAACCAUCUUGGAAUAAGCGAAAAGGAUCUGGCUGAAUUCAUCAUCAGCCUGGCGGACAAACAUCCAACAUUUGACGAAUUUAAAGCAGUCCUCACAGAAAAUGGAGCAGAUUUUACAGUAACGCUCGUCGCUAACUUAUUUCGACUUAUCCAAACUAUGCGAGCGUCAGCAAGUCCAGAUUCAUCAUAUGAGUAAAAGUGACGAGCAAGUUGCUGCAGCAGCCAUGAAGGAGCUGGAGAUCCUCAUGCCUCAAAGUGGACACACCUGCUCUUUCAUUCAACUGACCCUCAUCGAUGCCAAGCACGUUGUGUGGUAAAGAGAGGAAGUACUACCCGAGCUGAGGGCAACUACGGAAGGCCGGGGGGAACAAAAGUGACAGGAUGAAAUAAGGCAUAAUACAAGAAAAGCAAUAAAAUUGAGAAAAUAGGAUAAGAAAAAUAAAUUACUCACUGAGAUGAAAUUCACAUAACAAUUACUAAAGGACAGUAAAUUCACACAUUUAGACAAAGUAAUAAAGUGCAUUUU